UCUCUGUUAGUAUAUCGGUUAGUACACGCGCCUGUCAUUCAACACUGGCCGCGCGAAAGCGGGGUUCGACUCCCCGACAGAGAG